rnacentral:lncRNA from 1 species
UUUUAGAAGAGCAAUAGGCCACAGCAGUAUUAUUAUUAUUAUUAUUUUUUUCGAGAGAUAGAUAACACGCUACCCGCUUCGUUUAUUUUAUUUAGAAAUAAAUUUAGCUAGAAAUAUGAAUCAACUAGGAUUCGAAUUUAGGUCUCGAAUAUCAACCACCAACUUCUUUACCACUUGUUUUAGGGACGGUCGGUGCCAUAGCAGUAUUAUUACAUAUGAGUUCUGCUCACU